rnacentral:lncRNA from 11 species
AGCUGGGUCUUCUCCUGUUCUCCAAGCAUUCUCAAAGAUUAAAAGGUUUACUUCUACUUUUGAGUCAAAUUAGUGUGACAGAGGAUUGCACCUUAUUUGUGGAUGAGACACAUGGAGUCCAUGUUUUUAGAAGUUGUUAUGCACCUGAGCUACUAUUUCAUGCUACAACCUGUCUAACUUGGAAGCAAGGACAGCCACAUAUAAUGACAAAUUUGGAAGGGACAUCAAAAUUAUGGUUCAUUUCACCCCUUGUUGUGAUAGUAACACUGUUGUAAAUGCAAAUUGACAAUCCUUGUGUAGGUAAUCUGCUUUUUCUGCAUGAUGAAUCCCUCUGAUGAUUCUUUGACAAAAUGCUUUGACAACAUAUUAACAUCACUAUUCUGGGCAGUCUAAUGGAAGUGCUAAAAAAAUUGAGUAGCCUAUGGAUGUUGACCUGAAAAUGGCCACAUUAAUUUCAAAAUGAUUAAAUAAGACUUUUCUAGAUGACAUAUACUAUGAAGAGGAAUGGUAGCAAAAAUAAUAUUAGUUUGGUU